GCAGAGACAGAAUGUAUUUAUUUUUCAAUUAAAAAGCCCUAAAACAGUGACAAAGCCACAAGGGUCAGAAUAAAGUGUUCCUCCACUAAAGAGAACAAUGUUUCCUAUUUGAUGUCUCUGAAGUCAGGACUGCAUCUUCCCAGGCAAUCCUUUGCAAGGAUUUUUUUUUAAUCAGUCAUUGAAAUCACAGGCAGAAGCCACAACUCAUUGUUUGCAUGUACUGGGACUGGGAAAGCAAAAUUCCAAAGCCACAUGUGUCAGAAUUAAUUCAUGUCACAGAUCAAAAAGAAAGAGUAGUAAGUGCCGCAGUGACAGUUCCACUGGCUUUGUGGAGCUCAAAGGAAAACAAGAGAGGCAUUUUCAGGAUCAGAGGAGGUUGAUUUCCCCCAUACUGGUUAUUCCCCUCUCUUUAAAGUAUUUCCUUCCAGCAGCAGAGAUUCAUGGAUUUACUCUUUGGAGUCCACCUGCUCCUCAUCAACCAAAGGAACCUGAUGGCCACAGAGCCUUAAAAACCUGGCAGAGCUAAAGCUGUAUCCAAAAAUCCCAGAAUCCCAGAAUGGUUUGGGUUGGAAGCACCUUAAAUCCCACCCAGUGCUACCCCUGUCAAGGCAGGGACACCUCCACUGUCCCAGGCUGCUCCAAACCCAGUGUCCAGCCUGGCCUUGGGCACUGCCAGGGAUCCAGGGGCAGCCCCAGCUGCUCUGGCAAUUCCAUCCCAACCCCUCCCAGCCAGGAAUUCCCAAUUUCCCAAUGAUUUGUGCCCAGCUGGAGCCAUGGGGCCAAUCUCCAUCAUGGAGAGGCUCCCAUGCCACGACACCAAGGGGCACCAAGAAAGCAGCAGGGAGGAGGGAACCCUUCCCCUCUCCCAAAACACAGAGCAGAGAUUUAUUUCCGAGGCUUUUGAAAGCCCAUGGAAGGCAGAGGAGCCCAAACCUGUGGAUGCAGCUCUGCCCAGAGACCCCCCACCCUCAGCACCAGCUCUGGAGGCUGCUCUGGCCUCCAGUGGGAUUUCAUGAGCAUUCCCAGAGCUCUCAGGAGUGCAAAGCAGCCACUGCUGGUGGAACAAACAUCCACAUCAGGGAAUUUCCUGCAGAAGGGAAGUGCAGCCAAAAAUGCCAGGAGGAACUGGGCAGGGCAGAGGUGCUGCCUCAAGGAGGGAUGGCACAGAAAUGGAGAGCAAAUGAACUUCCCACACAGAUAUCCCCUAA
rnacentral:lncRNA from 1 species